AGUUUGAACUUUAAAAAAAUAGGUACACAAUAACGCUGUCCUUGUUUGAGUUCAAAAGAGUGUUUUGGCUGUUUUGCUGGCAUUUUGGUUGGAGGCGUCAUGGGGAGAACCGUGGUGCAAAUCACCUUCGUCAUAUUCCUGCUGGCUUUGGCUUCCACACAGCCAAACAAGGAUGACUGGGACAUCUACAGCUUUCACAUCAACUCCACAGUGACCAGUCGUUAUGCCACCACUGUCAUCACAAGCCGUGUGGCCAAUCGUAUGAACGAGUCAAAGGAAAUUGAAUUUCAUGUUCAGAUUCCCAAGAAUGCCUUCAUCAGUAAAUUUCGAAUGUUUAUCGAUGGCCAGGUUUAUGAUGGUGUUGUGAAAGCUAAGGAGCAAGCUCAGCAGCAGUACACUGAAGCUGUGUCCCGUGGUGAAAGUGCUGGACUUGUCAGUUCUGUAGGGAGGACACUGGAGGAAUUUAAGACCUCUGUAACUGUGGCUGCUCACAAAAAGGUCACUUUUGAACUCACAUAUGAGGAAUUAAUGAAACGCACACAUGGCAAGUAUGAGCUGCAAAUUCAUGCUCGACCCACACAGCCUGUCAGAGACUUCAAGGUGGAUGUGUACAUUCACGAGGAAGCUGGCAUCAGUUUCAUCAAUGUGAAAGGAGGCCUGAGCACCAAUGCCCUCGCUAAUGCCAUCACCAAAACACAUGCAGAUAAACAGGCGUGGGUGUAUUUCUAUCCAACAGUCGACCAACAGAAAAUGUGUGACAGCUGUGGAGAUCAGGGUAUGAAUGGAGAUCUGGUUAUAGUUUAUGAUGUUAACAGGGAUAAUGGACUGGGACACAUCAAGAAAUCUGACGGGUACUUUGUUCAUCAUUUUGCACCAUCUGAUCUUCCACGGAUACCAAAAAAUGUCGUCUUUGUUAUUGAUCAAAGUGGCUCAAUGGAGGGCCGGAAAAUUGAGCAGACUAGGACCGCAUUAAUCCACAUUCUGAAUGAUCUGGCAGAAGAUGAUCACUUUGGUCUGAUCACUUUUGAUGACAGAAUUUCUUACUGGAAGCGAGAACUCGUUCAGGCCAACAGCAAAAACCUGGAAAGUGCCAAAAACUUUGCACAAAAUAUACAAGACAGAGGAUACACAAACAUAAAUGAAGCAGUGUGCAAGGAGCACGUAUGCUGAAUGCACAUAACAGAGAAGGUUCAGCAUCUAUCCUUAUACUUCUCACAGAUGGAGACCCAACCUCAGGGGUGACAAAUCUGGAGAAAAUCCAGUCAAAUGUAAGACAGGCUAUUGCAGGCAAAUUCCCACUGUACUGUCUCGGUUUCGGUUUUGAUGUUAAUUUUAAUUUCCUUGAGAAAAUGUCGCUGCAAAAUAACGGUGUGGCACGGCGGAUAUAUGAAGACUCUGAUGCUGAUUUACAGCUGAAGGGUUUCUAUGAAGAGGUGGCCACACCUCUACUGACAGAUGUGACAAUGAUCUAUGUGGGUGGGACCAAUCUAACCCAGACUAACUUCAGUCAGUAUUAUAAUGGUUCUGAGAUUGUGGUGGCCGGACAGAUCACAGAUAAUAAUAUUGAAACCUUCACCCCUCAAGUUGUGGCCAUUUCAAGUAAUAGAAGAAUAAUAUUCUCUAAUCCAAAUGAAACUGUGGAAUCCACUGGAACAGUGUCUGAUGACCGUAUCCAGAGGGUUUGGGCGUACCUCACAGUUAAACAGCUUCUGGACAAAGAGCUUCAGUUAUCUGAAACUGAGAAAGAGAAAGUGAAGAAGGAGGCUUUGGAGCUAUCACUGAGGUACAGUUUUGUGACCCCUCUCACAUCCAUGGUGGUUACAAAGCCUCCCGGAGAGAACACAGAUGUGCUUCAUAAACCCAAGGAAGUUCCUGUUAACCGCAGGACCAGGAUCCAACAUGUUCCUGUUCAUGGUACUGCUAUGGUCAAGUUCAAACAUGCUCCUGUUAAACCCCCCAGGCAUCAGGCCCCUGUUCGUGUUUUAAAGAAAAACUCUCGUGUUACACUCAGGAGUGGACUUCUAGACACUUCUAGUCAUUUUCCACUGGCACCUAAAGCUCCUGCUCCCCGUGUCCAUGUGUUCCCGUUCCUCUCUAUAGCUGUCCCACAGGCAACUGAUGUUCCUCUUCUUCACAGGUUUUUAAUAAACACUGAGAAUCAGACUGUUCCAUUGUGCUUUGAUGUCAGUGGCUCACUACAACUUAAACUACUUCACCAUCCCAGUGAGGAGCUGUUUGUGAAUGGUGAGCUUGAUUCAGUUGUGAAUGGAGGCUUCAACAGUAUUUUUAUACACUUCCAAACUGACCAUCAUUUUGAGAUUGACUCCAGGGGCGUGACUGUACGAGAAGGACAGACUGUGGCACAUCACACUGGACAGGAUACCAUCACAGCUGGGAGUGUGACAGUGGUUGUGCACAACAAGAAAAUACAUGUUACAGCUGGAAAGAUGCGCCUGGUGAUCUUAGUUCAUGAGAAGAAUGGCAACAAAUUCCUUUGGCCAGUUUUAAAAAAGCAUCGCUCGGCCAACGACUCUGAAGGACUUUUAGCUGUAAAGCCUGCAGUGUAUGAGGUGGUGCAGCAAGUUCCUGUCACAAAACUAAAGAUUAAAAACCAAGAGAUAGAUGUUACAAGUGACAACGCUACUGAUUACAGCAUCGACCCUCCUGUCACAAAGAACUGCUGGCUUAUGUCUGCUGACUCUGCCCUGCAGAGGCCACUGGCAGAUUUUUCCGUGGCACAACUUUAAGUGUGAACUGUGCUGAAUUACAAACAUGAAGAAAUAAAAAGUAUCAGUUUAAAAAAA